AAAUUUGCAAUAAAAAUUUUAACCAUGAAAUUUAAAUCCCGCUUUAACUUUACUCUUCUUGUACAUAAACGUUUCUUAAGUUAAUCGAUGUUUAGGUAAAGAAUAAUUAGUGCAAUGAACGAAAACGGUCAAUUAGACCCCGAGUAUAACUGGAUCGUACGAACGUGUACGAAUGCUUUUAACGUUUAUUUAACCGUGCUUCAUUUUGCCUUUUAUGAUAAUGCCAUAAAUACGCAACCAAAUGCUACUUUUGCAGAGGCUUUGUCGUACUCCUUAUUCAUGGCAGCUGUGGACCUUUUGGUAUAUUCAAUAUUACAAUGAUAACAAGUAACAUUACAAAGUUAAAAUUGCCCACUCCCUGAGUAUAAAUUCACAUCGUAUUUAAAAUGUAUUUACAUUAUAUUUGUUAAUUCAAUCAUUGUAUUAUAUAUACUUUCAAAUAUAUGACAUCCUUCUCUGCGCAGAAAAAUGCAAAUUGGCCAUUGUUAUCUUUGUUCAUUGUAAUAUAUUGAACUCUAUUUCAUUUAAUACGUAACUGCCACACAUACCAUCUGUGAAUGAAUCUUUCGAUUUUUAUUCGUCAUAGCAGCCAUCAUUCUUCCAUGACCUUCUGGCCCUACCGUCAUCAUUGUCCCAUAAAAGCUUAAGUUAUUCCCCGACUCAUCUUUAUGAUCGUUGUUGCUGAAACCGGUCCUACGAUGUUCUUUUUUGCAAUAUCCAUAGCUGUACGGUUCAAAAGAAUUCCUCCCUUGAUCGGCUACUUCGAAUUCUCCUAAAAUAUAUCUUCCUUUGUGUCCCGCAUCUUAUUCCGUCCUGGUUGCACUCAUCAAAUUCCAUAUGUGUAAGUCGUUUCUUACUAUAGACGAAAUUGCGGUCAUGUUGCUCGUCGUCGUAAAUUAUAUGCUUCUCGUUCAUCUUUUUUCUAUUCUUUCUCGAAUUAUGGAAACAUUGAGUAUGUGAAAAUUGUAUGAAAUAAUGGAUUUAAAGGGCUGCCACGACCAGCAUGACAUUAAUAUAAUUAUCAAAGAUGCGCACAACUUUCGAGAUUAUUGAUCGAGAAAUAAACUAAUCAAUCAAGUGAAAUAAGAGUACAUACAAGGUACGUACUUGGGAUUCUACAAAGUCAACAUUGCAAAAAAUUAAUACUUUUUAUUGAGAACUUAUAAAAACAAAAACUCUCUUGCGUUUCAUGGUUUUCUUUUCCCCUAAUCGAAGUUUUAUAUUCUAUUUAAGACACUCAUUAUGUUAAAAUUCUUUUUUUUUCUUUUAAUAUGUUAAAACUUAUAAAUAAUACAAAGAAAAGGUUUGAAAUAAAUUAUUCCUACAAAUGUAUCGUAGCGUUAUGUACAACUUACAGACAUUAGAGGCACCUCUACAAUAUAGAUGACGGGCAAAGGUAAAGGUAAGAAAUAUAUAGAUGUUGUAAAAAAUAUUCAAAACUUAUAUUUUAAGUCGUCUUCGUGGAAAUUCUCGGUGCAGAAUUGUACAAGACGCUUAAUCGUAUUCUAAGUAUCAUAAGGGUAAGAUGGGAGGGGAAAAGAAAGUUUAUAGUAUAUAAUACAUCACUAAUCGUCACCUUUGUGUUUCAAAAAUAUUGUAGCUCUUUCUAAACAAUACUUUCACGCACAUUCGUUCCUCGCAUUCUGAUUAUUAAAAUCGAUCGUAUAAUUAAGUCGCAUACCAAUUAUGUAUACAGUUUUGUAGUUUGUAAACAAAACUAAGCAUUCAUUUUUUCGUUUUUUUUUAAUGAACUUCCUAAAAACGUUUAGCGUAUU
rnacentral:lncRNA from 1 species